ensembl:lncRNA
AUUAUUUGUUAUUUAUCAUUUCAUAUAUUUCACAAGGUUAGAAGUUAGAGGACCAGAGCUGUGGAAACGUAUCUACAAUCCAUCUGUUAAUCUGCUGUCGCUGUAAUUCCUCUAAUCAAGAGGAGCGAUGGAUUUAAGGAGAGUAAAGAAAAAGGAGAAGAGAUGGAAGGAGGCAGAUGUGUGGAGGAGAGAAAGGGUGAGGCAGAUGUGUGGAGGAGAGAAAGGGUGAGGCAGAUGUAAAGGGGGAGUCAGAUGUGUGCAGGAGAGAAAGGGGGAGUCAGAUGUGUGCAGGAGGGAAAGGGGGAGUCAGAUGUGUGCAGGAGAGAAAGGG